GCUGCGGUAGCCCAGUCGAUUGAGGCGUCGGCAGUACUGAUGCCAAAGUUGCAGGAUCAAAUCCUGCCUGCAAUG